UACGGAGGAUGCAAGCGUUAUCCGGAAUGAUUGGGCGUAAAGCGUCUGUAGGUGGUUUGUGUAGUCCCAUGUCAAAUACCAGGACUUAACCCUGGGCCGGCAUGUGGAAACUCGCAAGCUUGAGUACGGUAGGGGCAGAGGGAAUUCCCGGUGUAGCGGUGAAAUGCGUAGAGAUCGGGAAGAACACCAACGGCGAAAGCACUCUGCUGGGCCGAAACUGACACUAAGAGACGAAAGCUAGGGGAGCAACUGGG
rnacentral:rRNA from 1 species